CCGGCACGGGUGAGUAACACGUAUCCAACCUGCCGUCUACUCUUGGACAGCCUUCUGAAAGGAAGAUUAAUACAAGAUGGCAUCAUGAGUCCGCAUGUUCACAUGAUUAAAGGUAUUCCGGUAGACGAUGGGGAUGCGUUCCAUUAGAUAGUAGGCGGGGUAACGGCCCACCUAGUCUUCGAUUGAUAGGGGUUCUGAGAGGAAGGUCCCCCACAUUGGAACUGAGACACGGUCCAA
rnacentral:rRNA from 1 species